UUUCGAUCUCUCUCUCCCUCUCUCCUUCUCACUUUCUUUUCUCUCUCUACCACCAUUGAUGGUCAUUACCAAGCUCCAAGAAUCAUUUUCAUACUUAGAUCUAUCCUAAAUCAAGUUCUAAACAUCCAUUUCCUUUUAAUCAAGCCAAGAUUUGAAGAGUUUCUCAAGGUUGAAGUCAAAGAAAGAUUUUUAUUAUUUCCAAAUCCUUGAAUACGAGCAGAGGACGGAAGUAAGAUCGCCCAAAUACUACGAGAAAAAGCUAAGUUUAUCAGGUGGGCAUUAUUUUGAUAUACCUAUUAUACGAGCUUUCUUAAAUGAUAUGGUAUUUAUGAUUAUGAUUUGAGUUAAUGUUAUGCUUGAAACUAAUUGACUUGCCGAGUAUUGUUGAUAAUGACUUGUGUGUUACCCUCUACUAAUGAGACGAAUUCGGUCCUGCCACAAGCGGGAUUUUGUGCACAGAGGUGACUGUGAGUCGUCUAUCGGGUCGGCCGGUCACGGUACUUGAGAUGGAGGCCUACUUCUCAGUACCUUCGAUGAUGAGUAGUGGAUGCGGAUAAGCGAGGAGGAGGAAGAUCGGUCUGGUGCUGGCGGGGACUUUUUGGACGACGUUGUUUCUUUUACCGUAUUCCUACGUCAUAUGGUAACCUUUUGAGGUUGGAUGUGUAUAUUUUGAACUUAUUCAGGAAAUACACUCUCGGCUAUAUGUCUUCAUACAUAUAGUCUGAUCACGUUUUGCUGCAAGACUCUGUAAAUUAUAAACCUUUGUAAAUUUUUAACUAUGUCCGCUUUGUAAACUUUGUCGAGAAUCCCUGUACUUUUGAACUUAUGAAGCCGAUAAUAUUUGUGUCUUUGAGAUGA